rnacentral:lncRNA from 1 species
UUUGAACACCAACAACUUUCUCUGUACAUUAUUACAUAGUUUAAAAGGAGCUGAAGGCGAUUCAGCAAACACUUCCACUUUGCAUUUUUGUUGUUUUUAAACAUACUUACAAAAAGGUUUUUCUUCUUUAUAAGAGGAUAUAAAACAUAGCGACUGCUUAUCAGGAACAAGUAUCAGCUUAAGCAGAUAUACAGAGAGAGGUAUAUCUUAAGACACAGUGAUGUAUGAUAAAGGAAUAUGUGAACAUGGAGACUGCACUUCGGGGUGCUGGCAGCUGAUGCAGAACCACGUGGAAUUUACAGCAAUGUCACAGCUCAGGUAACCUGUGAAGUCAGUGCUUGAAUGCGACACCCUUUUUCAAAGCAUGACUGGUUUUGAAUGUUGUAUAAUGCUCUCAAGACUGGAUUUGGUUUGGAAAGCCCAUGCUUCUGUCAUCUCCCACUCCCCCUAUCCCCUCCCUCUAAUAUUCCUCAAGGGAAAAGGUGCCAGUUUCCUGUGCAGGGCUGGUUCUGAGCAGGACAGGGCGACACAGCCAGGCCUUGCGGCUGAGCAGUGUCCUCUGGGGCUGGGGAAUGGGGGUGGCUGCGAGCCCACACUCUCCACACUGGGCAGGGUGCUGUGAGUCCUGGAUCAGACCUUUGUGUGUCUCGUGUUGCACAUUGGUAUGGAUUUAAGUAACAGGAGAAGCCCACGAGCAUUCUCAGCGUUGGACGCAAUCUGGGGACUGCUCUCCCAGCACAGACUGUGGUAUCUCACUCAGGUCCACUGCGUCCCUUCUCCCCUUAGGAAUAUUCACAGCAGAACGCGUCCUGCGCCCUGCAGCGACCUGCGGGCUGGCUGCCAGGCCGGCGGACUCAGCAUGUUCUCACAGUGCCAUCAGUGCUUUACAAGCAGAAAACAAAACCAACCAGACUCAAAUGACAAUGCGGAGUGACACAGGACUCUUUGGAUGGCAGCAGGAUUUGCUUAAUCUGGUGCAAAAGGGGCUGGUGACUGUGCUGUAGUAUUGAUUGGCAGGGGGAAGGACCGGAGUCCCUCCGGUUAGUUGGCACUGCACUUUAGCCAUAAUCCCUGUCCAAAAGGAUGGUACUCAGAGUAUCGUUCAGUCCAUUUCAUCCCCCUUUACACAAAAUUUUCCUCUUUUUUUUUUUUUUUUUUUUCAAGAAUUGUUUGCUACAGAUUAACAAAACCCCAAAUCAUAACUCAAAAUCCUUGAGGUGGGCCAACCUCAGACCUGGAUCCCUGGCUGCUCCCCCUUCCCUCGGGUGCCCCAUGGGGAGGAGGCUGAAAUCAUAACCUGGGGCUGGAUCCAGGUUUGCCAGCUGGAGUCCACCUCUGCUGAACAGCAGUGAGAUACAGCCAAAUCUUGACCAAAUAAGCAGCACCAGAAGUAAAUUACUAUAUACAACCGUUAGUGAGAUAGAUACGUUACAGUAAACACUGAAAACAUUUACAAAAAAUAUUAAGACUUGUAUUAAGAUAAAAAUCUGAGUGUGUUUCAGUUUUGUUUACACGCUGACAGGUUUGCACGAGAACAGCCUCUUAUUUUAGAAAGCGCAAGAAUGAAAAAGAAAAUGGAGCAGAUCACAAAACAUUACGCAUAGUGGUUGCUUUACUGCGGUGCUGUGAGCACCUCCUGUAAUUAAUUGCCUCUGCUAUUGCUACGCCGGGCACCAGGGCUGGGGCUGCAGCUGGGUACCUGGCACUGCCACUCUCUCUCUCUCACACACACACACACACACAUAUAUAAAUGUACAGUUUAUAAAUAACAGAAACACAAACAGAAGUAACAGAACUGAGCUGAGCCUGGAUCUUAAAACCUAUCCCCAAACCUUGAUAUGGGAGGGUCGUACUUAGGUCCAGUUGUUGACACUUGCAGCAUAAGGAGACACAGGAACAAGGGGCUGGGGAAGCUCCACUGUAAAGAGAUCUGGUUCUGAUUGGAACUUUGUUUCAUUACUGGCUUAGGAAACUAAGCAGCUCCAGAAGGUUUUGGCACUGGAACUCGGAAGAUUCUAUUUUUUAGUAACUCACUGUGGAAGAUUGGAGCAGCCUGCUGUUGCAGCAGGACGGUGUGCUCAGUGCUGUGCACAUCUGAGGUUACCCAGGACUUUCUGACAGAUCUUAGGGGGGAAAAAAAAAACAGGGGGAUGGCGGUAUAAGAGCAGUGCCUUGGCUGGGGGGGGGCAAGCAGACUUACUGCACUUUGCUUCAGCACUAAGCAGCUGUGGUGUGGGUGGGUCUCUCUUCCAGCUCCCAGAGGGCACUGACUGCACCCACAUGGAAGCGCUGCCUGUGGGGCACUGCCCCGUGCCCUGGUAGUGCUUCUGUUCCUUUAUGCUGAACAACUUCCAUCUCCCCCAGCACCAACAUUUUGGAGCUCAGAAACAAUCGGCUCUAAAAAUUCAUCUCAGGGCAAGAGCAGUUUAAAAGUCUUUUUUUAGCAAGGUUCUUAUCAUGUAUAUAAAGACAGUGGCAGAAGUUACGUGUAUGAACCAAACUGUUCCCGGUACCCUGUGUGCUCCUAACCUGUCUGGGUCUUUCUCCAGUUGUAACCUUGUCAGCUGUGUGAGGUUCUUCAAAGACAUCUGUGCUAUUCUCCGCUCGGCAUGAACACUUAGUGAUUACUUUUUUCUGAGGAGCUCCUUUUGGGGUCUCUGUGUACUUGCACCAUUCUGCAGGCGUUGGUGGGGCGCGGAGACCUCAGUGCAGAGCAGUGCGUUCGCUCCUCCGAGGACCGGAGCUGCAGCAGCUGCAGCCGCACCAGGCUUGGCCCAGGGCUUCCAGGCAACAGAAAACAUUCACAAAAAUAAAAAAUAAUCAUCUGAAAUUGUGAAAGCAAUUGCAUGAGGAAAGAUGCUGUUAGUGAGCCUUACAGCUGUGGGGCAGCAUGGCAGUGCAGAGCUUAUGGCACAUGGCGUCCUGCUCAGGCAGCCCGGCGAGGCUGGAGGUGGUACCUAAGCUGUGCAGAGCUCAGUGAACGUCCUAGUACCUUGGGCUGUACAGUUACACGUGGCAGGAGGAGCUAGGACAGGCGGUCAGCAGUGUGUUAAACUUUAGUGGGAGGAAUAGGCAGAUGUCCUGUACACUGUACACUGUCAUCCGUGUCUCAGAGAAAUCUCUCUGGCUCUUGGUCCGAGUGACCUGCUCUGAGACUGGGAGCCGUGAAGGACUAACUGAUAACCACAAACCAACAAUCACACCGUGGCGGCAGGUCAGCGGCACCAUCCCCCGUUAAGGAGGUGACCCCUCCGCUGAGCAACGUGUCUGUGUGUGCCGGGGCUGCAUCUCGGCAGUUAGGAAAGUCUAAUCCUGGCUUAUGCCUGCACAGUGCUCCUGACAAGGGGGCUCUCGGUGGUGGCUGCUGUUCCUGCUGGUUACUCCCUUAUGACCAUGUUUUACAUUCUUCAAGCCGGUUAAUUUCCAUGCAGUGCUCAUUCCCAAUUUAAAGAGGACAGUAUUCCAGAAAAUGGGCUCUUUUUUUUUCUAAUGCAUACUGUGAAAGAAAAGAAAUACAAUUACCGAUCUUCAUGGUUCUUCAUGGCCGUUCUUGUUUCUUUGCCUUCUUUUCCUCCCCAGAAACAGUAGAAAUCUCUGCACAGAGCAUGACAUCCCCAUAAUGAACCCUUUGUCAAGCAUGAAGCUGGCCACGUAGCAGCCUGGCACUCCCCCUCUCCUCCACAGCGGGCGCCAGCAACACGCCCCGACCCUGCACCUCACUCACAGCUUGGGGACAGCAAGCUCAGCUGAGUAAGGGCACUCAUUAACCGUGCGUUGGCAGCAUCCAAUGAAGCAAUGCGUUUCUCCUGCAAAGAAACAGACAGAGGGAACCGUCAGUGGAAGCACACGGAGACCUGCCUCUGCGCUGCCAUGGGUUGUUGUGAGCUAGCAACCCAUGGGCCUUUGGGACCAGGACCCUUCAGCAGCCCUCUGCUGAUAUAGCAGGUCCACAAAUGGCUUUGCCUGUGUUCUACCCUGCUGCUGCCAGGUGAGCAGACAUCUCUGCAAGCUGCGUGCUCCAGGCUGGCCUGACAGCAGCCACAUCCUG